UAACUCGUAAAUAUCGUUGAUUACUUACCGGAAACCUUUUUUUGCAUCGUUCUAACCAGGUAAAUAAAUUGAACGAAUGCUAUUCA